UCCCUCUCUCUCUCUUCUUUUGAAGCAAGUGAUAUCUGCAUUCUUUGUACAUGCACCUUUUAAAGUUGGCAUGCAAGCUGGAUGCCAUUUACACCAAUAAGUUUGACCAUUCAACCAUUGCGAAUAAGCUAAGAAACCACUGGCUUACUCAAGGAAAUAAGGCUAUGUUGAUUCCUAAACGCAGCAACUAAUAUGUAGGGGAAAUGACUUUCAAGUUUCAACCCCAUGCCAAAGUCAUUUUGUCUAUGGAAUCCUAUAUAUUGGCAGAAAUUAGGUGGAAUUCCAAAGUAAUAAUCCGGUUGUUCUACCACUUCUACUCCACGUUAUAAAGACUAGGGCAAAGGGCAAAGUAAUCAAAAAAUUUGAUACUUGAAACAUGUGGAUGGCAAGCAUAUGUCAAAAACAUCAACUAGACGGAACACACUCUUCAGCUUAGAGUUUGAUAACCCAGGGGUCCGUCCAUUCCAUCCCGUCUUGUCACAUUCCUACCCAUGAGAGAUG
rnacentral:lncRNA from 1 species